rnacentral:tRNA from 1 species
GGAGAGGUGUCCGAGCGGUUUAUGGAGCUGGUCUUGAAAACCAGUGAUUCGAAAGAACCAAGGGUUCGAAUCCCUUCCUCUCCG